UCCAGACUCCUACGGGAGGCAGCAGUGGGGGAUAUUGCACAAUGGGGGGAACCCUGAUGCAGCGACGCCGCGUGGGUGAAGGAGCGUUUCGGCGCGUAAAGCCCUAUCGGCAGGGAAGAAGGAGGACGGUACCUGACUAAGAAGCCCCGGCUAACUACGUGCCAGCAGCCGCGGUAAUACGUAGGGGGCAAGCGUUAUCCGGAUUUACUGGGUGUAAAGGGGGCGCAGACGGCAGCGCAAGCCAGGAGUGAAAGCCCGGGGCCCAACCCCGGGACUGCUCUUGGAACUGCGCGGCUGGAGUGCAGGAGGGGCAGGCGGAAUUCCUGGUGUAGCGGUGAAAUGCGUAGAUAUCAGGAGGAACACCGGUGGCGAAGACGGCCUGCUGGACUGCGACUGACGUUGAGGCCCGAAAGCGUGGGGAGCAAACAGGAUUAGAUACCCCUGUA
rnacentral:rRNA from 1 species